GCUUUGAUACCUCAUACCAGGAGCUGAAGGCGGUAACCGGAACGCCUCAAACCCUCGAACCUGUCUCUCUCGCUCAACCCUUUUCUUCCGCCGCCCCAGCGCGGCCUCCUUCCUCCGCUCGCCCGAUUUUUCCGCUGCUUAUCCCCAUCCGCGUCUCCGUCGCCAUCGAGAAGGAAAUCCCAGAGAACGAGCGCCCCGGACUUUCCUCCGCGAUGCCGAUGGAUCCCAUUCUGCGCCCGCUUCGAUUGCAUGAUCCGGGUACAAGACGAGGUGUGCGGCGCCAUUGAGGAGUCCGACGGCCGAGGUACUUUCAGGGAGGAUAUCUGGUCUCGGCCGGGAGGAGGGGGCGGGAUUAUGCAUCCGGAGAAUUAUGGUGCCGCCAAGGGGGAAGAUGGAGUCAAGGAUGCAUCGGUCAAGGCGGGGCCUGUACCAUUCUAUGCGCCUGGAAUCAGUUAGGUUUAUGAUCGUGGUUCAACAUUCGGCCUGAAGCAGCAGCUUCUUCGGGAGCGUGUUCACGGUGGAUGGGAAAGUGCUUUUGGGGACGACGGCUACCUUGGAGGGGACGUGCAGCCUGUUGGAAGUGGUGGAAAGGUGCGAUUAGGGAGCUGAAAUGGGCGCAAAGGGCAUGGGAGAGCUACGAUCUUCAGUCGUCCCUUGCGGCAAGGCUCACCUCGCAAGCGUUCUUGGCCGGCCAGCCGCUCCUCUUGCCUGAGAAAUUUCAGGAGACUUGCAGCGUAUCGUCUUACUCGGAGACAGUAUAGUAUCGCCUCUGGGUGGGUUUCUCUCGUCUGUGAGUGCGUUCUUCCAUUAAUAACGAUCGCAGAUUUUUGAAUGAAAAGUUUAAAUUGGGCUUCUUGUUUGUUGCCAAGGAAGAAAACUUACUACAGGGCCAAAAAGAGAGAAUCCGUUUUAACCUUUUUAAAUUGGUUGCUUCUUAUUAAAUUUAAAUUAACUUCAAUUUCUAAUUACUGAAUUCAUAGGUUUUCUCAUUUUAUACUACGUAUAGAAAUCACCUUGGUUGUUA